ACUUCAGAACUUCAUUGUGGAGUGAAGCAUGAAGUCUUGGAUUCUCUUUAGAAAGAGAGCCGUUGCUCUGGAGAGAUCAUGCUUGAAGGCCUAAUAGAGACAGCUAAAAUGCAUUCUGAGACCAUUUGUAGAGGAACUGUUAUCCCUUAGAGAUCAUCUACACUGUUGGGUACUUAAUACCAAGUCUAUGACAAGUAUGAAGCUGUAUGUUCUAAACAAGGCUACUACACUCUACUGAUAAAGCUGUGGUAGGCUGGGACUUUGAGGCUGCUGAUAGUAA